rnacentral:rRNA from 1 species
UGGGGAAUAUUGCACAAUGGGGGAAACCCUGAUGCAGCAACGCCGCGUGGAGGACGAAGGUUUUCGGAUUGUAAACUCCUGUCAUUUGGGAAGAUAAUGACGGUACCAAAUGAGGAAGCCACGGCUAACUACGUGCCAGCAGCCGCGGUAAUACGUAGGUGGCGAGCGUUGUCCGGAAUUACUGGGCGUAAAGGGCGUGUAGGCGGCCAAUCAAGUCAGCUGUGAAACCCCGGGGCUUAACCUCGGGCUUGCAAUUGAAACUGAAUGGCUCGAGUGUCGGAGAGGAAAGCGGAAUUCCUAGUGUAGCGGUGAAAUGCGUAGAUAUUAGGAGGAACACCAGUGGCGAAGGCGGCUUUCUGGACGAUAACUGACGCUGAGGCGCGAAAGCGUGGGGAGCAAACAGG